CGUCAAAAGCACUUUCACCGCAAUCCAAAAUCCCCAGAGGAUCAGACAACAUGCUACUCCAAUCCACCAUUCCACAGUCGCCUCUCCACCACCGCCGUGUUUCUCUCUCCUCACCUCUCUCUUCUCACUCUCUCUCCUUCCCAUCUGGGUUUCGCGGCAAGAAGCACCCAGCAGUCAGGUGCUCCAUAUCGCAGGUUCACAGCUACGGAACCUUGGACUACGAGAGGAGGCCCGCGGCGAAGUGGACCGGAAUAUACAAGAGCAUUUCGCUGAUGAAGGACCGCGCGGUGAGCGCCGUGAGCGUGUUGAACGACUGUGAGAAAGCUGGGAAGAAGCUCACCAAGUGGGAGCUUCAUAGGAUUAUUAAGGAGUUGAGGAAAUUCAGGCGAUUCAACCGCGCUCUUGAGGUAUAUGAGUGGAUGAACAACAGAGCAGAGAUGUUUGGAAUAACCACCAGUGACACAGCAAUUCAAUUAGAUCUAAUUGCCAAGGUGCGUGGAACUCUAUAUGCGGAAGAUUACUUCCUGAAGCUGCCAGAUACAUCAAAGGACAAGCGAACAUACGCUGCUCUUCUAAAUGCCUAUGCCCAGGCUAAAAUGAGAGAGAAGGCAGAGUCUAUACAUAUGGAAAUGAUAAUUAGAGGUUACCCCAUGGAGCCACUUCAGUUCAAUGUGAUGAUGACUCUCUACAUGAACCUUAAAGAGUAUGAUAAGGUUGACUUGUUGGUUUCAGAGAUGAGGCAGAAGAACAUACCUCUAGAUAUGUACUCCUAUAAUAUCUGGUUAUCAUCUUCUGGGGCCCAAGGAUCUGUUGAAAAUGUGGAAAAAGUGUUUCAACAGAUGGAGCAGGACAGUACUGUUAAUCCCAACUGGAUUACAUUUGGCACAAUUGCUUCGUUUUAUAUUAGAGUCGGUCUGUUGGAAAAAGCGGAAGAGUGUAUAAAGAAGAUUGAAAGCAGAAUCACAGGUCAAGAUAGAAUUCCUUAUCAUCAUGUCAUUAGUCUAUAUGGUAGUGUUGGUAAAAGGGAGGAGGUUUAUCGUGUGUGGAAUGUUUGUAAAUCAAUCUUUCCGAACACUCCAAUGAUGGCUUACCAUACUAUGAUAUCUUCCUUAAUUCGGCUGGGUGAUAUUGAAGGUGCAGAACAACUUUACGCGGAAUGGCUGUCUGUUACGCCCACUAACAACCCUAGAAUAGUAAAUCUGCUAUUAAGUUAUUACACUAGAAAUGGGCUUUUAGUGAAAGCUGAGGAUUUGUUUGACCGAAUGGUUGAAUUAGGAGGAAAGCCGAAUCCAGGUACAUGGGAGAUUCUUGCCGAAGGACACAUCAGAGAGAAGAAGGUUCCUGAGGCAUUGUCUUGCCUGAAGGAAGCAGUUUUGGUUCGUGGAUCAAAGAACUGGAAACCAAGGCCUGUUAACGUUUCUUCCAUUCUCAGUAUAUGUGAGCAAAAUGACGAUAUGCAAAGCAAGGACGUUUUAAUGGGGUUGUUGAGUCAAAUUGGAUGUUUUGAAGAUGAAGCUUAUAAAUCCUAUGUUCCCUCGACCGGUGGGGUGGUUACUGUUUGCGAUGAAGGGGAGGAUAUUUACGGAGCUGAAAUACUUGUCAACCAACUACAGGGAAGUUUUCAAUGAUUCUUCUUUCCAUGUGUUAAUGAAAGAAUGAUCAGGUGAAGGGUUUAUGGGGUUUUCUCAUUUUGUUUUGUGCCUUUCUGUUCCUAAAAGAGAGUUUAUUGCCUUCUCGUGGUUAUCAUCUAGUGCUUUAUUCUUGCUUGCUAAAAUUGGCAGAGAUUCUGAAAUUCUUUUCCAGAGUCUUACUUUUUUUGCCAAAUGAGCCUCCAGAAAGGAAUCCUGCAUAUGUACAUAUAAUGAGAAGAAACCUGGACUGCAGGAAAGGAAUUCCAUCUUCCUGCCAAUGUCACCCACAACUGAAGUUCAUUGAAAUGGCUAGCCGUGUCCAGUCAGUGUAUGAUUUGUCUAAAUUUAAGAGAGAGGGAAUUCAAGAUUAUACCGAGAUAGAUUAUAACCUAAAUUCAAAGCCUAUGAAUUUGUAAGAACUUCAGGGAUAUGCAUUUGGUUCUUGAUAACUAUUGCAGACUUGUUUUUGCCUGUCUCAAAAA